GACGAACGCUGGCGGCGUGCCUAAUACAUGCAAGUUGAGCGCUGAAGGUUGGUACUUGUACCAACUGGAUGAGCAGCGCACGGGUGAGUAACGCGUGGGGAAUCUGCCUUUGAGCGGGGGACAACAUUUGGAAACGAAUGCUAAUACCGCAUAAAACCUUUAAACACAAGUUUUAAGUUUGAAAGAUGCAAUUGCAUCACUCAAAGAUGAUCCCGCGUUGUAUUAGCUAGUUGGUGAGGUAAAGGCUCACCAAGGCGAUGAUACAUAGCCGACCUGAGAGGGUGAUCGGCCACAUUGGGACUGAGACACGGCCCAAACUCCUACGGGAGGCAGCAGUAGGGAAUCUUCGGCAAUGGACGAAAGUCUGACCGAGCAACGCCGCGUGAGUGAAGAAGGUUUUCGGAUCGUAAAACUCUGUUGGUAGAGAAGAACGUUGGUGAGAGUGGAAAGCUCAUCAAGUGACGGUAACUACCCAGAAAGGGACGGCUAACUACGUG
rnacentral:rRNA from 1 species